UGGGGAAUAUUGGACAAUGGGGGCAACCCUGAUCCAGCCAUGCCGCGUGUGUGAAGAAGGCCUUCGGGUUGUAAAGCACUUUUGUCCGGAAAGAAAAGCAUUCGGUUAAUACCCGGGUGUUCUGACGGUACCGGAAGAAUAAGCACCGGCUAACUUCGUGCCAGCAGCCGCGGUAAUACGAAGGGUGCAAGCGUUACUCGGAAUUACUGGGCGUAAAGCGUGCGUAGGUGGUUCGUUAAGUCUGUCGUGAAAGCCCCGGGCUCAACCUGGGAAUGGCGAUGGAUACUGGCGGGCUAGAGUGCGGUAGAGGAGAGUGGAAUUCCCGGUGUAGCAGUGAAAUGCGUAGAGAUCGGGAGGAACAUCAGUUGCGAAGGCGGCUCUCUGGACCAGCACUGACACUGAGGCACGAAAGCGUGGGGAGCAAACAGGAUUAGAUACCCCGGUAGUCC
rnacentral:rRNA from 1 species